AGCCAGUAAGGAUAUGGGAUAAUAACAUGGGAUUCGACUUCAUUGAACAUGCCAAGUUAGGACAUAAUGAAAUUAUUACAAUACAACUCUUAAUACAACAUUGCGAGCUACCGACGUGCUGACAAAGUACAUCGGUGGCAAUAACCAAACGAUAAUUAUGGAUAACAAGUCGGGCUGUAUGGUAAACAACAUGCAACACACGCGCGGGCCGUUUGUUAAACUUGAUCACGUUUCAUGGGUAGCCAUCCCGUCCAGACGCUAGAUGCCUGACACCUACAGGCAACAGAUACCUGUCUUCGCCUGGAACGCACGCGAUUGUGCCGUUCAGGGCAAGUACAUCAAUUGCGUUCCUGGCGAUAAAACAAAAGAUGUAAGCUAAUAAUUAAACUAAUGCUUCAUCAAGAAUAGUAACAUGUUAAACAGAAUCAGUUUUUGUUCUUGCCUGAGUACGGCAGGUCUCUCUCCAACUACUUGUCUGAUAAACUCAAAUCUCAGUCCCGGAUCCUUGAGAGGAUUG
rnacentral:lncRNA from 1 species